AUCUUCGUGCAUAGGCAAACUUAUUGUAGCUAGACUGUACAAAGUAUAUCAAGAUAUGCCAAAUAUUGAGCUUAACUUCACCUGUUUGAGAGACGCUUGCAACACCAUGAAAAAAUUACUGAGACACUAGGAAUGCUGUGAACUGAGAAAGUUUGGGACCUUUGGCAUAACUAAAUCCUUCAUUUAACAGAUGGAGUCUCAGUCUGUCACUAAGGCUGGAGUGCAGUGGCGCGAUCUCGGCUCACUGCAACCUCCACCUCCCGGGUUCACGCGAUUCUCCAGCCUCAGCCUUCCACGUAGCUGGGACUACAGGUGCAUGCCACCACACCCAGUGUUGUGAACCACUUGUCAUGGGAUAACCAAAAUUAAACCUGGAAUCGCAGAAGAAACAAAUUUUUUGAAGAAAUUGGAUGUACUUUUUUAAAAUUUUUCAUUCAACUAAAACUUUGUUAACUGUUUCUUGGUUGUGGUCUUCUCUAAAUUGUAAUCUUUGGCAUUCACUUCCAAAGUAUCCACCACUAAACUUCAUAACAUUUAUUGUGUCUCUUCAUCAUUAAACUUUGAUGAAUUUACAGAGUGUCUUUUGAAAUUAUGUUCUUGAGAAAGGUAAGUUCCCUAAAAAUCCCACCACCUCAGGAACAGAAUUUUCUAAAACUGUUGUAUCUACCUAAGUUACCUAUUUUUGUCUUUUGUCUGGAGUCCACUUGUCCUCAAAACAAAAUUAAUGUUGUAUUCCCUUUUGGUCAAGGACACAUUAAACAUUUCGUGCAGCAUGCACAUUUUUCAGGGAUGUAGAAUCAUAAACAAUUAUUUUUAUACACUUCUUAUGACAUAGGGUGACUUUUACAAUGUGCUGUGCUAUUUAAAGUUAAAUGUUCACCACUACAUAUUGUACCUGUGAAAAGAUUAUAGGUUAGCUUUGAUAAUUUAAAAUAUUUUUGCUACAGCCAGUAGCUCUAUUAACGAUGAUAUGAAACUCUGACGUUGUUGUGAUUACAUUGUAUUUUUUCAUAUCUGUUAUGUGAUAUAGCAACCAACAUAUUAGUUAUAAUAAUAAUUAGGUAAUGAGUUCACACAGUUAUUGGAUGGAGUGCUGUGUCCAUCCCUAGGUGUUUGUUAUUGUAGUGAUACUUAUAAGAAGUACAGCUUGGUGUACCUACAUUAGCGCAAAUUUCACUAGUCAGGAAAAUGUGGAUAAAGUGGUCCCUUUGAUUCAUUAGCCCUAUACGAAGUAUUUUGAAAAAAAUAUUUUAACAGAUUUGUAUCCUCUUUCCAUAUCUCAUAUAAACUGUAAUUAUUUUUAAUUCCCCCAAAUGAAU
ensembl:lncRNA novel transcript